AACCAUAGAAACCUGCGGAGUACCUGCGGAAGGAUCAUUACCGAGUGAGGGCCCUCUGGGUCCAACCUCCCACCCGUGUUUAUUUUACCUUGUUGCUUCGGUGAGCCCGCCGCAAGGCCGCCAGGGAGCUUCCGCCCCCCGGCCCGCGCUCACCGGAGACCAACUGAACUCUGUAUGAAGAUUGCAGUCUGAGUACAAAACUAAAUAAGUUAAAACUUUCAACAACGGAUCUCAGAUCGG
rnacentral:misc_RNA from 1 species